rnacentral:rRNA from 1 species
GAUGAACGCUGGCGGCGUGCCUAAUACAUGCAAGUCGAGCGAACAGACGAGGAGCUUGCUCCUCUGACGUUAGCGGCGGACGGGUGAGUAACACGUGGAUAACCUACCUAUAAGACUGGGAUAACUUCGGGAAACCGGAGCUAAUACCGGAUAAUAUAUUGAACCGCAUGGUUCAAUAGUGAAAGACGGUUUUGCUGUCACUUAUAGAUGGAACCGCGCCGCAUUAGCUAGUUGGUAAGGUAACGGCUUACCAAGGCAACGAUGCGUAGCCGACCUGAGAGGGUAAUCGCCCCCACUGGAACUGAGACAGGGUCAAGCUUCCUGCGGGAGGCAGCCGUAGGAAAUCUUCCGCAAUGGGGGAAGGCCUGCCGGAGCAACGCCGCGUGAGUAAUGAAGGUCUUCGGAUCGUAAACCUCUGUUAUUAGGAAAGAACAAAUGUGUAAGUAACUGUGCACGUCUUGACGGUACCUAAUCAGAAAGCCACGGCUAACUACGUG